rnacentral:rRNA from 1 species
AUUGAACGCUGGCGGAAUGCUUUACACAUGCAAGUCGAACGGCAGCACGGGGGCAACCCUGGUGGCGAGUGGCGAACGGGUGAGUAAUACAUCGGAACGUGCCCGGUCGUGGGGGAUAACGUAGCGGAAGUUACGCUAAUACCGCAUACGAUCUGAGGAUGAAAGCGGGGGACCUUCGGGCCUCGCGCGAUCGGAGCGGCCGAUGUCAGAUUAGGUAGUUGGUGGGGUAAAGGCCUACCAAGCCGACGAUCUGUAGCUGGUCUGAGAGGACGACCAGCCACACUGGGACUGAGACACGGCCCAGACUCCUACGGGAGGCAGCAGUGGGGAAUGUUGGACAAUGGGCGCAAGCCUGAUCCAGCCAUUCCGCGUGCAGGACGAAGGCCUUCGGGUUGUAAACUGCUUUUGUAUGGAACGAAAAGGCUCUGGCUAAUACCUGGGGCUCAUGACGGUACCGUAAGAAUAAGCACCGGCUAACUACGUG